rnacentral:rRNA from 1 species
AUGAACGCUGGCGGCGUGCUUAACACAUGCAAGUCGAACGGAGUCAUCAUUUUUGAAGCAAUUAGCUUGCUAAGAGUGGAAAUGUUGAUGACUUAGUGGCGGACGGGUGAGUAACGCGUGGGUAACCUGCCAUAUACAGGGGGAUAACACUUAGAAAUAGGUGCUAAUACCGCAUAAGCGCACAGUAUUGCAUGAGACAGUGUGAAAAACUACGGUGGUAUAUGAUGGACCCGCGUCUGAUUAGCUGGUUGGUGAGGUAACGGCCCACCAAGGCGACGAUCAGUAGCCGGCCUGAGAGGGUGGACGGCCACAUUGGGACUGAGACGCGGCCCAAACUCCUACGGGAGGCAGCAGUGGGGAAUAUUGGACAAUGGGGGAAACCCUGAUCCAGCGACGCCGCGUGAGUGAAGAAGUAUUUCGGUAUGUAAAGCUCUAUCAGCAGGGAAGAAAAAAUGACGGCACCUGACUAAGAAGCCCCGGCUAACUACGUG